rnacentral:lncRNA from 1 species
CCCUCCCCGCUCAGGCCCGCCCGGAGUUGCAGGCGCGAGCCUGGGAGGACGAGUCUCCCCGGGCUUGCGGUCCCUGUCGCCCGUCUCUCUCCGUGGGGAUCUCCGGGGGUCUGGCGCGUGGGCGUGCGUGCCUCAGAGGGGGCAUCGAGACGGGGCCACCUCGGGGGCGAGCCCCGGACCCCGGGGACAGCCUGGCAGCUCGCGGAGGCCGGACCUCAGCUGCCGUUUGCAGCUCCACAUCCCGGGCCCGCACCGGGCGGCGAGGAGCGCGCCAGCCCCUGCCAGCCUUCACCCGGCCAGCGCCAGGCUCGGGGCGGGGCGCAGCCCGCGUCCCUGAGACCCUCAGGGCCAAGAGGAAAGAGCCGGGCUGGAGGGCGAGCCGCACCUCCGAGCCCGACACCGGCUUCGGCGGCGAAAAGCCGAGGCCCCCGCCCGAGCCGAGGCGCCCGGGUGCCCUCCGGGCGCUGCAAGGGUCACCGAUUCCCGGGGUUUGGAGCUUUCUCCUCUGGGCCCGGGGAGCCCCGAGGGUGAGCGGGGAUCGAGGGCCCCGUGUCCGUGCGUCCCGCGGGAGGCGGAAGAGGGUCGGGCGGGAGGUGGUCUGGGCAGGGUCCCCACAGUGCCCGCUCCGGGCCAAAGGCCAGGGCGCACCCCGCCCGCCACCCCAACUCGCACGGCGGCGCCUCCUCCGGCGCCCUGCCCGGUCCCCCCAGGGCUUUCCCCAACCGCUGCUGCCGUGUGCAAAUACAAAACAGCAAGGACAAUGCAAGGGACACUCAGAGCGCUGCCGCCAGCCAGGCAGCCCCGGGGCAAACUCCCGGGACCCUCGGAAGGGCCGUCGGAGAGGUGAAAAGGUCGCACGCAGCCUUCUGGGAACCGCGCUGUGUGUACGCAGCUAACGGUCUGGCUCCCACUGGUUCCAAGGGCUGGCACACGAGGUCUAGGGACGUUGGCCAGGGGUCUCUGCUCAGAGGGUGCGGCGGAAGGACGGGGUUGGGUCAGGAGGAGGGGCGCCCUCGGGCGCUGCGCCCCGCUGUCCAUCUGGGGACGCCGCGAGCCUUUGCCGCCUGCCCGGGGCGCUCCUCCCCGGCUGGGCUACGCGGCAGGCGCAGGCGGGAGGGAGCAGCGAGGGCCGGGCCGGCCCUGACGCUAGGCUGGAGGGAAGGGCGGCAGGGGGCGCGGCCGCGCCCAGCGGAUCGGGAGCCGCGCGAGGCUGCUCCCUCCGCCUUCCCCAGGAAGGGCUCCGCCCGCAGCCCGGGCGCAGAAAACGCCUGUCUUGCCGCUCACAUGCAGAGCGCCUUUCCCCAACCAACUAAUAAGGCAUGCACUGUGUACUCUGGGGGAGGGAUGUUGAAGUCCUGCCUUUGAUUUUAGCUCAUUGUGGCUUUCUUACCCUCCUGGGUUUCCCCACACGGUACUGGGUACUGGAGCCCUCCUCGCUGAUUGAUAAUUGCCGGCUGGUGCUGCAGCACAGUGCAAAUUGUCCUUGCUAACAACCUCUUCUGCUCUUGGAUUCCGCUCAGCGGUGGAAAGGGUCAGUUUUAGAUUUCUGCAACUCCCCAGCGAGGGAGACAGACCGACUUUAUAGGAGAACAUGUGAUAGGCAGAAAAAGCCAUGUGGCAGUAUUCCUAGGUUGAUUUUAUUUUGGUCCCAAGAACAUGGCACUCCUUCUGAUACCCCAACCCCCAGGCUAGGUAGACCCAAGUUCCACCUGAGGAAAGAUUCACCCACCGCCUGCGUUCCCAGUCUGCCCUGCCGGCCUGACCUUCAUGCCCAGAUGGGAGGGAGGCCUAGGCCUCCUAACAAUGGCCUGGACGCUAAAUGUUCCUUCCCUUCCUUUCAUCAAGCCCUCGUCAAUUUGUCAGAAAUAAGAUGAGAUCCAUUGCUCCCCAAAGGCCGUUUGAGCCACUAACUUCCUUAGAGUACUUCAGAUUAAUGCAAUAUGGAGAUUCAGGUUGGUAGUCCAAAACUGUAUCAAAUAUAGUCUUUUUUUUUUGGAAACAUCAAACCCAUGUAUUUCAGCACUGCAAUAAAACGACAUAUUUUCAGUAGGAGCUAACCAACAUUUGAAAUGUAAGAAUGGAAGGAGUGAAACUGGGAAAAUAUUAAAAAUUGGAUUUCAAGUAUUCUUGAAAAUACUUUUCUUAAAAUGGCAUUUCUUUCAAAUGACUGUCAUACAGAAUGUGUCAGUGGGCUGCAUGGUGGCUGUCUUCUUAGUUUGUAUUGGCAGAGGAACAGAAAGUAAACACAUAGCUUUAGUUUUUGAUUCUUUGUGUUUAGCCUUUUAAAACUUACCUUGAAAAUGUUCAAAUACUGGAGAAGAGACUUUCACCUAACAUUUUAAAACUUAGUUAAAAUGCGAAGUUUUUAUAAGACAGUGCACCUCCUAACAAGCAAGAUAAAGGGGGAAAAUGCUUAAUUUGGAAUCAUGUUGGUAAAUUCCAAAUGUUUCUCGGUAGGGGUUAGGUUUUGAAGACUGUACAUUACUCCUUUGAAAAAAAUAACUAUAUUUUUCUGCCUUUAGUGAGUUACUUUUAAAUUAAGAGUAUUAAAUUAAUAAUAACCAAGAGAAACACUCAGCAAAGCAAUGACAAGAUCAUUAGAGGGAACACAGUCACAUUUCUAAAAGACUAUCUUCAAAUAGGAUGACCUUUAAAUUUUCAACAGUGUUAAAAUUUAAUCAUAGUGCUAUGUAGAGAACUAAAAAUUUAAGGAAUUUUGAAAGAGGUCAAUAAAAAUGAUUCUUAAUAUAUCAAAUGAAGGCCCCUAAAAUGCAGUUAAGGAUUGUUUAAUUUAUCCUUCAAGGAUUUAAUUGUGUUUUGUGUUUUUUUAGAUGACUACUGGCUGUGGCAUGGAGAAUGGGAUAGGAGAAGUGUAAGGGAAGAGGUGAGGGCCCGGAUGUGAAGUAGCUGAAGUAGAAUCUAAACAGGGUGUUGCACAAGGUCUGGCAGUGGACCCUGAAAAGAUGCAUGCAAAACACAUUUCAAAAGUGUGAUGGACAGGACAGGAGGUCAGGUGUAUGGCAGUGAAGGAGUCAAGGUUUCAUAACUCAGUGGGCUGUGAGAGCCUUUAUGUAGGUAAAGGACACUAGGAGAAGGCUAGUUUGGAAGGAAGACCGUGAACUUUAUUGAGUCUUGGGUCAGCUUCUAGUCCCUCUGAGGCAAUCAAACAAGUCAAGAAGGUAGCAGAGUUAUUUGGCUUGGAGAUUUUAAGUUCAUGAGUCACUGAUCUAUAGACAAUAGUAAUUGAGAUGGAAGAGAUGGGUGAAACUGUUGAGGGAAUUGGAAAAGAAGACCAAGGGCAGGGAGGGCUGGGGAUUUAGCUCAGUGGUGCUGCUACAAGUGCAAGGUCCUGAGUUUGAUCCCUGGUACAAAAAAAAAAAAAAAAAAGACCAAGGGCAAGGAAUUGAAGAACUUGUAAAGCUGGAUUGUCAGAAUGAGUCGACGCAGGGCCUGGAGGGUGAGCAGCUGCAGAGGAAGGAGGAAAACCAGCAAAGUAUAUUGCCAUAAAAGCUAAAUAGAAGCGGGUCUUGAGGAAUCUCCCUGGAGAGAUGGGGCUCCUGCAGAGGUGCUCGUGGCUAUGUAGAGUACGCCUUUCCUGAGGUUCUUCUUUACCUGUGGAACAGCCUGAUCUGGAAAAAGGAUCAAGAAUGGAGCGAGGAUGGCAGUAGGUCUGGCGGAAGACAAAUCAUGACACAUUUUGGCAGUGGACCUUCUUUAAUGUUAUCCCCAGCUUCAGUACCAGAGGUACUGAAGGUAUUUUUUCAGAGUAUUUCUCAGUCUUGAGCUUAAUUGCCAACAUUUUCAUGAGCUUGCAGGGUCCACACAGGGAGUACCAUGCUUUUGAUACAGAAGGCUUCUGGGCAAUUUCUGAUUCUUCAUAGAGAUAUUGGAUAGAAUCAUACUGAUUAAGCUGUGGCAACAGCAAACAGUCUCAAUAUUGUGAAGUCCAAGAGGUGGGUUUUGUUGCUAACAUAAAAAUAUACCUCAGCCACAUGCUGGUGCAAUGCACAAGUGGGGAUUGGGAGUGGAGUUUCUUCCUCUAUCCAACAAAAGAUAUAUUUGCUGUAAUUUUGACCACCACAACCUUUUGUGAAAGCUGCCCUUGGAAAACAGUAC